rnacentral:sRNA from 1 species
UAGUGAAAUCGCUCGCCUUGCUCGCGGUGAAAUAAUUUACUUCGUAAAUUGUGAAAUUUGAUGCUGCGCAUCAAGUGAAAUAAAAU